UACAGAGGUCUCAAGCGUUGUUCGGAUUCAUUGGGCGUAAAGGGUGCGUAGGUGGCGCCGUAAGUGAGGUGUGAAAUCCCGGGGCUUAACCCCGGGACUGCAUUCCAUACUGCGGUGCUUGAGGACUGGAGAGGAGACUGGAAUUUACGGUGUAGCAGUGAAAUGCGUAGAGAUCGUAAGGAAGACCAGUGGCGAAGGCGGGUCUCUGGACAGUUCCUGACACUGAGGCACGAAGGCCAGGGGAGCAAACGGG
rnacentral:rRNA from 1 species